CAAGGCGACGAUCCCUAGCUGGUCUGAGAGGAUGACCAGCCACACUGGAACUGAGACACGGUCCAGACUCCUACGGGAGGCAGCAGUGGGGAAUAUUGCACAAUGGGCGCAAGCCUGAUGCAGCCAUGCCGCGUGUAUGAAGAAGGCCUUCGGGUUGUAAAGUACUUUCAGCGGGGAGGAAGGUGUUGUGGUUAAUAACCGCAGCAAUUGACGUUACCCGCAGAAGAAGCACCGGCUAACUCCGUGCCAGCAGCCGCGGUAAUACGGAGGGUGCAAGCGUUAAUCGGAAUUACUGGGCGUAAAGCGCACGCAGGCGGUCUGUCAAGUCGGAUGUGAAAUCCCCGGGCUCAACCUGGGAACUGCAUUCGAAACUGGCAGGCUUGAGUCUUGUAGAGGGGGGUAGAAUUCCAGGUGUAGCGGUGAAAUGCGUAGAGAUCUGGAGGAAUACCGGUGGCGAAGGCGGCCCCCUGGACAAAGACUGACGCUCAGGUGCGAAAGCGUGG
rnacentral:rRNA from 2 species